rfam:Rattus norvegicus chromosome 2, whole genome shotgun sequence.
GGGGAUUUAGCUCAGUGGUAGAGCGCUUGCCUAGCAAGCGCAAGCUCCUGGGUUCGGUCCCCAGCUCCA